UACAGAGGUCCCAAGCGUUGUUCGGAUUCACUGGGCGUAAAGGGUGCGUAGGCGGUCGGGUAAGUCUGAUGUGAAAUCUCACAGCUUAACUGUGAAACUGCAUUGGAUACUAUCCGGCUAGAGGAAUGGAGGGGAGACUGGAAUACUUGGUGUAGCAGUGAAAUGUGUAGAUAUUGGGAAGAACACCGGUGGCGAAGGCGGCGCUCUGGACCGAGACUGACGCUGAGGCGCGAAAGCGCGGGGAGCAAACAGG
rnacentral:rRNA from 1 species